AGAACAUCAAAGAGAUCGCUCAUGAGAGCACACAAAGUCCCAUUUGUUCAGCACUUGGACGGAGAUGCCAGCAGCUUCCAGGCAGAGGGAGAAUCGAAGGUUUGUCUUCACUUGACUUCUCGCUCACACCAUCUGGCUGAUGGAGAAUCCUUUCAUUUCUUCCCGUGGCUGGACCAAAGGGAGAAUGACUGUGAAUAGAAGUGCCUUUUCAACCUUCACUUGUAUCCAUUUUUAAAAGGACAAAUAAGGCAAGUUCAAACUCAGAAGGCGAAAGUCCAGCGGAAAGUACCGGAACUGAGGGAAAACUAUUUGCCUAACCACCCACACCACUGAAUGCUUUCUUGGAAUCUGCUGUGUGUUUAAGAUGAUAUCCUACCCACACACAUGUAACCUUUACCUUUUUGCAAACCAAAUCUGAUUCUACAAGGAAAGCACAAAAAUAAAAAUAUUUUUCUCUCAAAUUAUA
ensembl:lncRNA novel transcript, sense intronic to AHR